rnacentral:rRNA from 1 species
UCCUACGGGAGGCAGCAGUCGAGAAUUUUUCUCAAUGGGGGAAACCCUGAAGGAGCGGCGCCGCGUGGAGGAUGAAGGUCUUCGGAUUGUAAACUCCUGUCAUUUGGGAACAAUGCGCAAAUAUUAACUGUAUUUGCGUUGAUAGUACCAGAAGAGGAAGGGACGGCUAACUCUGUGCCAGCACCCGCGGUAAUA